CUCCUACGGGAGGCAGCAGUAGGGAAUCUUCGGCAAUGGACGAAAGUCUGACCGAGCAACGCCGCGUGAGUGAAGAAGGUUUUCGGAUCGUAAAACUCUGUUGUUAGAGAAGAACAAGGACGUUAGUAACUGAACGUCCCCUGACGGUAUCUAACC
rnacentral:rRNA from 1 species